rnacentral:rRNA from 1 species
AUUGAACGCUGGCGGCAGGCUUAACACAUGCAAGUCGAACGAUGAAACUCUAGCUUGCUAGAGAAGAUUAGUGGCGGACGGGUGAGUAACAUUUAGGAAUCUGCCUAGUAGUGGGGGAUAGCUCGGGGAAACUCGAAUUAAUACCGCAUACGACCUACGGGUGAAAGGGGGCGCAAGCUCUUGCUAUUAGAUGAGCCUAAAUCAGAUUAGCUAGUUGGUGGGGUAAAGGCCCACCAAGGCGACGAUCUGUAACUGGUCUGAGAGGAUGAUCAGUCACACCGGAACUGAGACACGGUCCGGACUCCUACGGGAGGCAGCAGUGGGGAAUAUUGGACAAUGGGGGCAACCCUGAUCCAGCCAUGCCGCGUGUGUGAAGAAGGCCUUUUGGUUGUAAAGCACUUUAAGCAGGGAGGAGAGGCUAAUGGUUAAUACCCAUUAGAUUAGACGUUACCUGCAGAAUAAGCACCGGCUAACUCUGUGCCAGCAGCCGCGGUAAUACAGAGGGUGCGAGCGUUAAUCGGAAUUACUGGGCGCAAAGCGAGUGUAGGUGGCUCAUUAAGUCACAUGUGAAAUCCCCGGGCUUAACCUGGGAACUGCAUGUGAUACUGGUGGUGCUAGAAUAUGUGAGAGGGAAGUAGAAUUCCAGGUGUAGCGGUGAAAUGCGUAGAGAUCUGGAGGAAUACCGAUGGCGAAGGCAGCUUCCUGGCAUAAUAUUGACACUGAGAUUCGAAAGCGUGGGUAGCAAACAGGAUUAGAUACCCUGGUAGUCCACGCCGUAAACGAUGUCUACUAGCCGUUGGGGUCCUUGAGACUUUAGUGGCGCAGUUAACGCGAUAAGUAGACCGCCUGGGGAGUACGGCCGCAAGGUUAAAACUCAAAUGAAUUGACGGGGGCCCGCACAAGCGGUGGAGCAUGUGGUUUAAUUCGAUGCAACGCGAAGAACCUUACCUGGUCUUGACAUAGUGAGAAUCCUGCAGAGAUGCGGGAGUGCCUUCGGGAAUUCACAUACAGGUGCUGCAUGGCUGUCGUCAGCUCGUGUCGUGAGAUGUUGGGUUAAGUCCCGCAACGAGCGCAACCCUUUUCCUUACUUGCCAGCGGGUUAAGCCGGGAACUUUAAGGAUACUGCCAGUGACAAACUGGAGGAAGGCGGGGACGACGUCAAGUCAUCAUGGCCCUUACGACCAGGGCUACACACGUGCUACAAUGGUAGGUACAGAGGGUUGCUACACAGCGAUGUGAUGCUAAUCUCAAAAAGCCUAUCGUAGUCCGGAUUGGAGUCUGCAACUCGACUCCAUGAAGUCGGAAUCGCUAGUAAUCGCAGAUCAGAAUGCUGCGGUGAAUACGUUCCCGGGCCU